rnacentral:rRNA from 1 species
GGGGAAUAUUGCACAAUGGGCGCAAGCCUGAUGCAGCGACGCCGCGUGGGGGAUGACGGCCUUCGGGUUGUAAACUCCUUUCGCUAGGGACGAAGCUUUUUGUGACGGUACCUAGAUAAGAAGCACCGGCUAACUACGUGCCAGCAGCCGCGGUAAUACGUAGGGUGCGAGCGUUGUCCGGAAUUACUGGGCGUAAAGGGCUCGUAGGUGGUUUGUCGCGUCGUCUGUGAAAUUCCGGGGCUUAACUCCGGGCGUGCAGACGAUACGGGCAUAACUUGAGUACUGUAGGGGUAACUGGAAUUCCUGGUGUAGCGGUGAAAUGCGCAGAUAUCAGGAGGAACACCGAUGGCGAAGGCAGGUUACUGGGCAGUUACUGACGCUGAGGAGCGAAAGCAUGGGUAGCGAACAGGAUUAGAUACCCUGGUAGUCCAUGCCGUAAACGGUGGGCGCUAGGUGUGAGGGUCUUUUCACGACUUUCGUGCCGUAGCUAACGCAUUAAGCGCCCCGCCUGGGGAGUACGGCCGCAAGGCUA